rnacentral:rRNA from 1 species
CCUACGGGCGGCAGCAGUGGGGAAUAUUGGGCAAUGGGCGCAAGCCUGACCCAGCAACGCCGCGUGAAGGAAGAAGGCUUUCGGGUUGUAAACUUCUUUUGACAGGGAAGAGCAGAAGACGGUACCUGUCGAAUAAGCCACGGCUAACUACGUGCCAGCAGCCGCGGUAAUACGUAGGUGGCAAGCGUUGUCCGGAUUUACUGGGGGUAAAGGGCGUGUAGCCGGGCUGACAAGUCAGAUGUGAAAUCCGGGGGCUCAACCCCCGAACUGCAUUUGAAACUGUUGGUCUUGAGUAUCGGAGAGGCAGGCGGAAUUCCUAGUGUAGCGGUGAAAUGCGUAGAUAUUAGGAGGAACACCAGUGGCGAAGGCGGCCUGCUGGACGACAACUGACGGUGAGGCGCGAAAGCGUGGGGAGCAAACAGGAUUAGAUACCCGGGUAGUC